AUCGAACGCUGGCGGCAGGCCUAAAACAUGCAAGUCGAACGAGUGGCGGACGGGUGAGUAAUGUCUGGGAAACUGCCCGAUGGAGGGGGAUAACUACUGGAAACAGUAGCUAAUACCGCAUACCAUCGGAUGUGCCCAGAUGGGAGUAGCUAGUAGGUGGGGUAACGGCUCACCUAGGCGACGAUCCCUAGCGGGUCGGAGAGGAUGACCGGCCACACUGGAACUGAGACACGGUCCAGACUCCUACGGGAGGCAGCAGUGGGGAAUAUUGCACAAUGGGCGCAAGCCUGAUGCAGCCAUGCCGCGUGUGUGAAGAAGGCCUUCGGGUGGUAAAGUACUUUCAGCGAGGAGGCGUUACUCGCAGAGGAAGCAACGGCUAACUACGUGCCAGCAGCCGCGGUAAUAC
rnacentral:rRNA from 1 species